AUGUCUUCUCAGAUGAAUAACCGCAUCCAGUCCGCUGGAAAGCGCGCGCGCACAGACGGUAGCCGGCGUGAGGACGACUGGAUUUGCCCCAGCUGUAACAACGUCAACUUCGCAUUCCGCACCACCUGCAACAUGCGCAACUGCGACCAGUCCAGGCCCGCAGAUCACACGGCUAUGCAGACUCCACCCCACUACUCGGUGCCGGGGCGGUACAUGCCGCCGGGGACGCCUCCGUCCAUGUACCUCACCGGGGCUCCUCCCCCGUAUGGCUCCAACCUCUAUAAUGGGCAUCCCAUGCCACGCUAUGGCAUUCCUCAGCUCCCUCCGGGCUCUGGAUAUCCGUAUGGCUAUGGCGGGCGAGUCCCGAUGGGGAGCCCCUAUGGGCCAAUGCAUAUGGCGGCACCACCCCCAUAUUCUAGUGGUUCUAUGGUUGGUGCAGGUGGAAUGUACAGCAUCAGCAUGCCCAUGGAUAGAUAUGGCUUGGGCUCACCCGCUGGUCCUGGGGCAAUGGGCACAAGGGCUGGUUCCUAUUCUGACGAAGGCUCACAGAAGAAAUCUGCUGGAGCUGGACGUGAUAAUGAUUGGAAGUGCCCUAAUUGCAACAACAUUAACUUCGCCUUUCGGACAGUCUGUAACAUGAGAAAAUGCAACACACCAAGACCUGACACCCAGGGAUCCAAACCUGACAGUUCAAGAGCUCCAAAACCAAAGACUCCAGAGGGUAGCUGGAAGUGUGAAAAGUGCAAUAACAUAAACUAUCCUUUCCGGACAAAAUGCAACCGUCCAAGUUGUGGGGAAGAAAAGCCAUUGCAGGCAAACAGUCCUGAUGAUCUGGCUACAGAUCAGGACAAUCAGUUUUUGUCAUGUAAUAUGGGGAAGCUUUUAUCAAAGCUGCAACUUUCACAUGACUUUGAAGACAACAGUGUUCUAAUCGAGAAGGAUGUUCCCGGCCACGCUGCUGGACUACCGGUACCGACAAGUUCGCAUGCCCUGCGAAUGGCAGCUCUCAGUGAGCUGCAAGACAGUUUAUAG
rnacentral:rRNA from 1 species